UACGUAGGGACCAAGCGUUGUUCGGAUUUACUGGGCGUAAAGGGCGCGUAGGCGGCGUGACAAGUCACUUGUGAAAUCUCCGGGCUUAACCCGGAACUGCCAAGUGAUACUGUCGUGCUAGAGUGCGGAAGGGGCAAUCGGAAUUCUCGGUGUAGCGGUGAAAUGCGUAGAUAUCGAGAGGAACACCUGAGGUGAAGACGGGUUGCUGGGCCGACACUGACGCUGAGUGCGCGAAAGCCAGGGGAGCAAACGGG
rnacentral:rRNA from 1 species